CUACAAUGUUGCGGUACAGAGUAAAAACAGAGAAUGGCUCAAGUCUUAAAGAUCUCAAAGCCAGCCUCCAAUGGCACAUUUCCUCCAAUUAGGUCACAGUACCUCAGCAUUUCCAAAUGAAGCUACCAACUGGGCAGCAAGCAUUCAAAUGUCUAGGACUGUGCUGGUCAUUUCAUAUGAAGCACCAUAAAGCAAUGCUAAAAACCAUUUGGCAGUCUAAAAAAGAAACCCCUGGAAGACAUGAGGGAAACAUCUUGGCAGUAGCAACAUUUGGAGCGAAGAGAGGAAAGGUACCUCUUCCUCCCAAGAGGGCAAUAUUCAAACUGAUGUUGCCCAGACAGUGAAGCGAAUGUUUUAUUCUUCUUGGUUUAACUUUCCUAGAGUGUAUUUUAAUGCCAUUUUUUAAAAACUUAAGUGAGCUGCACAUCCUAAUGAGCCAAACCAUGUUUAAAGGUCCUGAUGAAAACAAACACGAACAAAUCUACAGCAAACUUAAAACAAGCGAGUAUAACUAACGAA